rnacentral:rRNA from 1 species
AUUUGGUCGUAGACCCGAAACCAGGUGAUCUACCCUUGGUCAGGUUGAAGUUCAGGUAACACUGAAUGGAGGACCGAACCGACUUACGUUGAAAAGUGAGCGGAUGAACUGAGGGUAGCGGAGAAAUUCCAAUCGAACCUGGAGAUAGCUGGUUCUCUCCGAAAUAGCUUUAGGGCUAGCCUCAAGUGAUGAUUAUUGGAGGUAGAGCACUGUUUGGACGAGGGGCCCCUCUCGGGUUACCGAAUUCAGACAAACUCCGAAUGCCAAUUAAUUUAACUUGGGAGUCAGAACAUGGGUGAUAAGGUCCGUGUUCGAAAGGGAAACAGCCCAGACCACCAGCUAAGGUCCCAAAAUAUAUGUUAAGUGGAAAAGGAUGUGGCGUUGCCCAGACAACUAGGAUGUUGGCUUAGAAGCAGCCAUCAUUUAAAGAGUGCGUAAUAGCUCACUAGUCGAGUGACACUGCGCCGAAAAUGUACCGGGGCUAAACAUAUUACCGAAGCUGUGGAUUGUCCUUUGGACAAUGGUAGGAGAGCGUUCUAAGGGCGUUGAAGCAUGAUCGUAAGGACAUGUGGAGCGCUUAGAAGUGAGAAUGCCGGUGUGAGUAGCGAAAGACGGGUGAGAAUCCCGUCCACCGAUUGACUAAGGUUUCCAGAGGAAGGCUCGUCCGCUCUGGGUUAGUCGGGUCCUAAGCUGAGGCCGACAGGCGUAGGCGAUGGAUAACAGGUUGAUAUUCCUGUACCACCUAUAAUCGUUUUAAUCGAUGGGGGGACGCAGUAGGAUA